rnacentral:lncRNA from 1 species
AAGAACCCUUCUUCAAGAUUCGAAGAGAACUUGGGAUUUUGGACGAACAUGACGUAUGACACGCAUAUUCAUCACUUAAGGUGCAUGCUAUAUAUUCCUCUACCUUAAUAAAUCUUCACAAUUUCAUUUGUGAAGGUUCUAUAUGUGUUACAUGUGCAAAAAUAUGUUUUUAUUGCUUUUAAUUCUCAUUUUUUUCGCAUCCUGUAACCGGUUACAUAAGGUAAGUAACCGGUUACAUUACUGU